rnacentral:rRNA from 1 species
UACGUAGGUGGCAAGCGCUACUCGGAAUCACUAGGCGUAAAGCGCAGGUAGGCGGUUUGGUAAGUCUUUUGUGAAAGCUCCUGGCUCAACUGGGAGAGGUCCUUGCAUACUGGCGAACUCGAGGGAGGCAGAGGAAAGUGGAAUUCCCGGUGUAGUGGUGAUAUGCGUAGAUAUCGGGAGGAACACCUGUGGCGAAGGCGGCUUUCUGGGCCUUACCUGACGCUGAGACGCGAAAGCGUGGGGAGCGAACCGG